GGAAGGUCAUUAGGCUCAGUCCGUUGCUUGUUCCCUCACUGCACACUUUCUAUAUAUCUGUCUCCAUCCAAUCAAGGACGUCCAUACCAUAUAGAAUCAGGCUCGACAAAAACGAGACUAGGGACCAUGAACUCCUUCCAUCAUUAUUUGAUAAAGAAUGCUACUCGCUUCUUCCUGUGGUUACUAUUAGAACACAAGCCAAGGAACUCAAAACCACAAC
rnacentral:lncRNA from 1 species